rnacentral:rRNA from 1 species
AUUGAACGCUGGCGGCAGGCCUAACACAUGCAAGUCGAGCGGAUGAAGGGAGCUUGCUCCUGGAUUCAGCGGCGGACGGGUGAGUAAUGCCUAGGAAUCUGCCUGGUAGUGGGGGAUAACGUCCGGAAACGGGCGCUAAUACCGCAUACGUCCUGAGGGAGAAAGGGGGGGAUCUUCGGACCUCAGGCUAUCAGAUGAGCCUAGGUCGGAUUAGCUAGUUGGUGGGGUAAAGGCCUACCAAGGCGACGAUCCGUAACUGGUCUGAGAGGAUGAUCAGUCACACUGGAACUGAGACACGGUCCAGACUCCUACGGGAGGCAGCAGUGGGGAAUAUUGGACAAUGGGCGAAAGCCUGAUCCAGCCAUGCCGCGUGUGUGAAGAAGGUCUUCGGAUUGUAAAGCACUUUAAGUUGGGAGGAAGGGCAGUAAGUUAAUACCUUGCUGUUUUGACGUUACCAACAGAAUAAGCACCGGCUAACUUCGUG